GCUCAGUAGACAAUCUUUCCUCAUUUCGUUAACACACUCACAGCACCUUUAAGCAAACCAAUAAUAUACAGAAGAAUUUCCCCAAAGCAACAAACAGCAACAGUAGCUAAAUGAAAUACCCAAAGAUAAAACGAAUAGAUAUAUAAAUACACAUAAAUUAUUUUCCAUUAUAAAAAGAGCUUCAAUAGAUCCGUGUGUUGUUCGCCGACUUAUAUAUUAACCAGCUAUAUUUAAUCAAACCACAUUAAAUUGAAUUAACUAAAUGUCAACGUGCGUGUCAAGUGCAAAAAGCUAAAUCCUUCGUCCUGUUGUUGUGGCUGUCGUCUCCUGAAACUUUAAACGAAAGAAAAGUUUGGCAGCCAUGAAAACCCCCGACUUUGAUAACAAACUGCGCGUAUAAACUGCAAUGGGAAAUGAGCACACAGGGAGAAGCCAUUGUGAAACUGUGAAAGUGUAAUCAAAUAAAUUCCCUCGCUGAAUAAUCCGAGUCGCAGAAUAAAGGUCAAAUCGUAGAAAAUGUGCAUAAAAACCUGCAAAGACAUUAAAUUCGGUGAACAUAGCGACGGAGGCCAUGAAGGUGGAGAGAACAUAGUCAUCCGCACAUCCAAAUCUGAUUACGAGCACUUCCAACUUCAACUGCAGCUGCAGGCCAGGCUAAACAAACAAAAGCACAAAGGCUACAAAUUGCCCAACUUUAAGAUUCUCAUGUGUUGCUGCUACUUCAUCAUCAUUGUAUUGAUGAUAUGAAAACAAACUACCAUGCAAUGAAACUCGAUCUCCAACCAAAAAUGCUUCAAUUAUAUAGAUAAAUGCCAACAUAUUGAAACCACAAAAGCGAACCAGAAAUUAUUGUUCAACUAAACUCAUAGAAAAGAUCUCAUUCGAUUGCUGUCUAUAGUAUAAACCAUCAGUUAUUUCAAUACAUGUGUUACAACAAAUUAAAUGAAUUAAAUAUAUAUAUGUAUAAAUAUAUGUGUUUAGUUCAAUAACGAAGUUAAAUAUUUUCAAAUCUAGCUUAAAGAGAGCUAUAAGCUAAUGUUUUUUGUGUGUAAAGUGCAAUUGUUAAACCAUAAUCAUUGAAAAGCAUAUGUUUAACUGCAAAGCAAUCAAUAAUUCAAAUAACCUGUAGCUGCAAUAAUAAACACCAAUAUUCAGCAAUGAAAUCUACGAAUGGCUCCAGCAAGUGGCAUACAUUUUGAAAAUAAUACCUUCGUGAACCAUCACAACCAGCACAAUCCCAUAUCAUUUUGCACACUGGCGUAGGCCAAGAAACGGGCGGCGGAAAAGAAAAUGCUGCGAUUUCUCAAGAACCGAUAGACACGGCGUCCGCCCAGGCACCGUUAUCGUACCGCCCAUCUAUCUAAAUGUAUAUGCUUAGCUGUAUCUUUAUCCGUAUCUGUAUCUUCGUGUCAAGCUUAGCAUUAAAAUUGUAACAUUUGUGUAUAUUCAUAUGGAUUAGUCAUAAGUCCGGUUAUGCAUAAUAUGUUAUUCACAUGUUCCUUGCAGUAAAUCCGUCUCUGAAUCUAAGUUAAGAUAAUGCUGUGCAAUGAGCGAGUGAAAGCGAGAAGAAAAGUGGGAAAAUGUAGCAUUGUUACGAUGAUUAUCUGCUGAUUUACUCUAUGGGUGUAUUUUUGCAGCAGUUGUGCAUGUCUUAAAAUAAAAGAUAACCAGCUAGGGAGUAUUUGCCGCAGAAUUCACUUCCAAGUAGAGAACAAAGAAAUCAAGGAGCUGCAGGAUAACAUAAGAAGAUCAAAAGAAAUUCAAAACAAAAUAAUAUGAUAUAUGUAUAUGUGUGAGUUUAGAAUUUAGAUGCUUUUUGAUACCCCCAACAGACAUUAGCUAGGCGAAAGGCAAAAUAUGCAUUGAAAAUUUUAUAGAAAACAACGCAACUUAGGCAAAACAUACAUAUAUAUAUAUUUAAAUACCAAAUACUUUGUUUAAAUGGUCAUAAUCCCACAAGGAAAUCAAGCACAGCUCCAACUAAAAAAUGUCGAUGGAUACACCCAGACAAUACGCCCAAAAGUAUGCAAUUUGAUUGUGCAGAUAGAAUAUUUUUUAAAUGUUUAUAAGCAGAGAUUGAACUAUUUGUAAAACAUAUUUUAAUAGACACCGAAAACCAAAGAACAAACUUUUUGAAACAUAUUUUUUAUAUACAAACAAGACGACGAAAAAGUUGAACACUGCGAAUAUGCACAAAACAUAUAUCUUUCGGAUAACCCUAGCCUAAGUUAAACAUUUGUACAAUUUUCAUUUCGGAUACAUACACAUACACAUACACAUACAUUUACUUUCGAUGGUUUCACGACAACUUAUUUUAGGCCUGGCAUACGAACAUUCGGUUAAAGCUUAAGCAAGUAAUCCAAAGUACAAUCAUUUAUGUCAAACGGGACAACACCACAGCACACCAGAUAUAUUGGGCAAUGAUAAUUCUGAAAUAGAAAUACAAAGCGAUAAGGUUGAACAGUCGUUUUUACAGGGACAUAAGAGAUCGAAACACUUUUUGCUAACAAUUUUUUAAAAUUCGUUUUACACACUCGCUUUAUAAGAUUGCUAGGCGAUUUCAGGAUAGACC